rnacentral:rRNA from 1 species
UGGGGAAUUUUGGACAAUGGGCGAAAGCCUGAUCCAGCAAUGCCGCGUGUGUGAAGAAGGCCUUCGGGUUGUAAAGCACUUUUGUCCGGAAAGAAAUGGCUCUGGUUAAUACCUGGGGUCGAUGACGGUACCGGAAGAAUAAGGACCGGCUAACUACGUGCCAGCAGCCGCGGUAAUACGUAGGGUCCAAGCGUUAAUCGGAAUUACUGGGCGUAAAGCGUGCGCAGGCGGUUGUGCAAGACCGAUGUGAAAUCCCCGAGCUUAACUUGGGAAUUGCAUUGGUGACUGCACGGCUAGAGUGUGUCAGAGGGGGGUAGAAUUCCACGUGUAGCAGUGAAAUGCGUAGAGAUGUGGAGGAAUACCGAUAGCGAAGGCAGCCCCCUGGGAUAACACUGACGCUCAUGCACGAAAGCGUGGGGAGCAAACAGGAUUAGAUACCCUGGUAGUCCACGCCCUAAACGAUGUCAACUAGUUGUUGGGGAUUCAUUUCCUUAGUAACGUAGCUAACGCGUGAAGUUGACCGCCUGGGGAGUACGGUCGCAA